UUUUUUUUCUCUAUAAAUAUGAGCAUGUUAUGUACAUUAAAAUUCCACAACCAAGCUACUACGAUCAUAUAAUCAAAACCAUGGCAAAAACAACUUCUUUGUGUUUCUCUCCACUUUUUCUUGGUCUUAUGUUCAUUUCUAUCGUCUUGAUGUGUUCUCAAGGUGUGAACGGCGAAAUCUAUUGUGUGGACUGGUCGAUGGAUACUUUUCAGACUGAUAAGAAUGGGGUUUGUGUAGAGUGGUGCAAAGCUGCCGCCACUAUUUUUAGAAUAACGACCAACUAUAUCCAUGAUAUAUUUAGCUUUGAAGCAACCAAAUGCUUAUGUUGCUGGGAAUAUUUUCUCUAAACUCAUAUAAUAUACUGUCUGCAGUCUGAUAAAUUCGUUUAGCAGUACGCCAGUACACCAGUAUAUAUUAUCUAGCUCAUCAGUUUCUACAAUAAUAUGAUCAGAGAUCACGUACGUAUUUCUUCAUCAGUUGUCUAGUGUAUGUCUAGAUCUCAUUACAGACAAUGUAUCGUGCCUACUUUUAUCAGUCCUGUGUGUUAUCCUUUAAUCAGCAUUUGAUCCUCUUUUUUUUCUUGGUAUUUUUAUAUCGUGUGAUAUUAUAUUUUAUGGGAAAAUAAAUUACAUGUA